UACGGAGGGUGCAAGCGUUAAUCGGAAUUGCUGGGCGUAAAGCGCACGCAGGCGGUCUGUCAAGUCGGAUGUGAAAUCCCCGGGCUCAACCUGGGAACUGCAUUCGAAACUGGCAGGCUAGAGUCUUGUAGAGGGGGGUAGAAUUCCAGGUGUAGCGGUGAAAUGCGUAGAGAUCUGGAGGAAUACCGGUGGCGAAGGCGGCCCCCUGGACAAAGACUGACGCUCAGGUGCGAAAGCGUGGGGAGCAAACAGG
rnacentral:rRNA from 1 species